GACGAACGCUGGCGGCGUGCUUAACACAUGCAAGUCGAACGGAAAGGCCCUGCUUUUGCGGGGUGCUCGAGUGGCGAACGGGUGAGUAACACGUGAGUAACCUGCCCUUGACUUUGGGAUAACUUCAGGAAACUGGGGCUAAUACCGGAUAUGAGCUCCUGCUGCAUGGUGGGGGUUGGAAAGUUUCGGCGGUUGGGGCUGGACUCGCGGCUUAUCAGCUUGUUGGUGGGGUAGUGGAUUACCAAGGUUUUGACGGAUAGCCGGCAUGAGAGGGUGACCAGCCACAUUGGGACUGAGAGACGGCCCAGACUCGUACGGGAGGCAGCGGUGGGGAAUAUUGCAGAAUGGGCGGAAGCCUGAUGCAGCAACGCCGCGUGCGGGAUGACGGCCUUCGGGUUGUAAACCGCUUUCGCCGGUGACGAAGCGUGAGUGACGGUAAUGAGUAAAGAAGCACCGGCUAACUACGUG
rnacentral:rRNA from 1 species